rnacentral:rRNA from 1 species
GACGAACGCUGGCGGCGUGCUUAACACAUGCAAGUCGAACGGAAAGGCCCUGCUUGCAGGGUACUCGAGUGGCGAACGGGUGAGUAACACGUGGGUGAUCUGCCCUGCACUUCGGGAUAAGCCCGGGUAACUGGGUCUAAUACCGGACAGAAGCCAUUUUUAGUGUGAUGGUUGGAACGUUUUUUCGGUGUAGGAUUAGCUGGGGGCCUAUCAGCUUGUUGGUGGGGUAAUGGCCUACCAAGGCGGCGACGGGUAGCCGGCCUGAGAGGGUGGACGGCCACAGUGGGACUGGGACUGGGACAAGGCUCCGACGGGGGGGGGAGGUGGGAAAUGGUAAAAAAUGGGAGCAGGCGAGAGGCAGCUCCAGCGCGGGGGGGUGAGCGACGAAGGGGUUGUAGUUUCCUUGCGCUAGGAACGGGGAUGUUAAUGACGGUACCGGGAGAAGAAGCACCGGCUAACUACGUG